AUUGAACGCUGGCGGCAUGCCUUACACAUGCAAGUCGAACGGCAGCACGGGUGCUUGCACCUGGUGGCGAGUGGCGAACGGGUGAGUAAUACAUCGGAACAUGUCCUGUAGUGGGGGAUAGCCCGGCGAAAGCCUGAUUAAUACCGCAUACGAUCUACGGAUGAAAGCGGGGGACCUUCGGGCCUCGCGCUAUAGGGUUGGCCGAUGGCUGAUUAGCUAGUUGGUGGGGUAAAGGCCUACCAAGGCGACGAUCAGUAGCUGGUCUGAGAGGACGACCAGCCACACUGGGACUGAGACACGGCCCAGACUCCUACGGGAGGCAGCAGUGGGGAAUUUUGGACAAUGGGCGAAAGCCUGAUCCAGCAAUGCCGCGUGUGUGAAGAAGGCCUUCGGGUUGUAAAGCACUUUUGUCCGGAAAGAAAUCCUUGGCCCUAAUACGGUCGGGGGAUGACGGUACCGGAAGAAUAAGCACCGGCUAACUACGUG
rnacentral:rRNA from 1 species